rnacentral:lncRNA from 1 species
CAUGUCCAAAAAUCAACGUAUACAGAAAUUCACUCAUUAUGCUCUGUUUCUUUCUUUCUAAUCAGACAUAUCCUUUGUGAUGACUAAUGGUCACCUCACUGAUGCUUCUGGCUGGCAGCACUUACCUAGACAUUGAUUCUGGAUGAGGUCCAGGUCUCUUCUACUGACAGGCAUGAGGCCUUUGAGAUGUCCUCUGUGCGACAAAGGAAGAACUUCUCCUGAAAUCUACGAGCUUAUAGCAGCACCUACAAUAUGCCAGGUGCUGCACAAGGCUGAAGGAAGGCCUGGAGAUCUUACUAUCUAAUGGCCUAAACCUCUAAACAUGCAUUUGCAUAACUUCAUUCAGGUGAGUAGUCCCAUUGGUCAAAUAAGUCUACUCAGGUGAGUAAUGUUAUGCAUAACUUAAACAUAUGCAGGACUGUGUAUUAGGUUAUUGGACAGACAAACAAUAUAGGAAAGUCUUACAGGUAAAGUGGUAGUUGGCAGAGUCUUAAUACAAUAUGCUGAUUAUACAUUUUGUAA